rnacentral:misc_RNA from 1 species
AACUUCAGGGUCAGCUUGC